CAUAAGCCCACAGCUCGGCUUCGAGCAGGGGGGAAAAGGAGUGAUCCGCUUUGAGAUGGCCUCGCGUCCGAUUAGCUAGUUGGUGAGGUAACGGCCCACCAAGGCGACGAUCGGUAGCCGGACUGAGAGGUUGAACGGCCACAUUGGGACUGAGACACGGCCCAGACUCCUACGGGAGGCAGCAGUGGGGAAUAUUGCACAAUGGGGGAAACCCUGAUGCAGCGACGCCGCGUGGAGGAAGAAGGUCUUCGGAUUGUAAACUCCUGUUGUUGAGGAAGAUAAUGACGGUACUCAACAAGGAAGUGACGGCUAACUACGUGCCAGCAGCCGCGGUAAAACGUAGGUCACAAGCGUUGUCCGGAAUUACUGGGUGUAAAGGGAGCGCAGGCGGGAGAACAAGUUGGAAGUGAAAUCCAUGGGCUCAACCCAUGAACUGCUUUCAAAACUGUUUUUCUUGAGUAGUGCAGAGGUAGGCGGAAUUCCCGGUGUAGCGGUGGAAUGCGUAGAUAUCGGGAGGAACACCAGUGGCGAAGGCGGCCUACUGGGCACCAACUGACGCUGAGGCUCGAAAGUGUGGGUAGCAAACAGGAUUAGAUACCCUGGUAGUCCACACUGUAAACGAUGAUUAUUAGGUGUUUGAGGAUUGACCCCUUCAGUGCCGCAGUUAACACAAUACGUAAUCCACCUGGGGAGUACGACCGCAAGGUUGAAACUCAAAGGAAUUGACGGGGGCCCGCACAAGCAGUGGAGUAUGUGGUUUAAUUCGACGCAACGCGAAGAACCUUACCAAGUCUUGACAUCCCUUGACGAUGCUGGAAACAGCAUUUCUCUUCGGAGCAAGGAGACAGGUGGUGCAUGGUUGUCGUCAGCUCGUGUCGUGAGAUGUUGGGUUAAGUCCCGCAACGAGCGCAACCCUUAUGGUCAGUUACUACGCAAGAGGACUCUGGCCAGACUGCCGUUGACAAAACGGAGGAAGGUGGGGAUGACGUCAAAUCAUCAUGCCCUUUAUGACUUGGGCUACACACGUACUACAAUGGCGUUAAACAAAGAGAAGCAAGACCGCGAGGUGGAGCAAAACUCAGAAACAACGUCCCAGUUCGGACUGCAGGCUGCAACUCGCCUGCACGAAGUCGGAAUUGCUAGUAAUCGUGGAUCAGCAUGCCACGGUGAAUACGUUCCCGGGCCUUGCACA
rnacentral:rRNA from 1 species